UGAAGAUUUCGCCGUCUCGGACACAACUGUACCAAAGCCAACAAGCCUAGGAGAACAUCAGACUUUACAAAGACAUGGACAUGGGUCAGACUUCGGCAAAGGUUUAUUUGUAACAUGCGGAAUACUGUGCGGAAUUGUCAUACUCGCGGUAUUGCUGUCUGUGUUACUGUGGACAUUCUACGGCCCGGACUCAAAUGAACUCGAAAUGCUAGGUGAUAUAGGGGAACCAUCCACUCCAACUCCAAGUCCAGAGACACCGGAUGUGACGAAACAUUUUGGCAUGAUUGUGAAAAAAGUGGGCAUCAGGUGGAAGGAUCUGGCGGAAAAACUUGGAUUCUCCUUCGAGGAUAUCCAAGUGGUGGACCACAACAUCCGGCAUCGUGACGACAAGGACAAAUGUAGGGAGAUUCUGCACAGGUGGCACCAGAGGAAUGGAAGAGAAGCCACCGUCGAACUCUUAAAGGUUGCUCUCGUGCAAGCGGGGUUAAAAUCGGUCGCACAGGAUAUAGACGACGUUGUAGCUAAGGUCCAUCAAGAAUUGUAGUCAUGAAAUUACUAUGUGUGUGUGUGGGGGGGGUCAUUUUAGAUAAAAAGGCGUUUUGAUGAAAUACAAGGUUACCAAUCUCCUGUUUGUAGAUGCAAAAUUUAUAGUUGUGGAAGGAUCUAAGAGAGAUAAGAAAUCAACAUUCAAGUAUGGAGCGUUGUUGUAUUGAAGUACGUUCGUACAUUACCAUGGUCAACAAUUGCAAGCAACGUAUACUGUCAGUCAAAUGUUAUUAAGCAUCAAGAGUGUGUCCUUUACUAUACAUGUACAGUCCGGGUAGAAGAUUACCUGCAGAAACACACACACCGAAUAAAAACACGUCUUCA